GAGCUCUAAACGAGCCGAUUGAAAUUCUCGACAUUAUAUAAUCAAUAGUUUAAUUUUUAUAGAACAUUACCUACAAUUUGAUGCAACAUGUCCAAUAGUUCAAAAUACAAAAUAAUUAUAAGAAAUGUGAGUUAGGGUGACUCCUGACUAGAUAAGGGUAAUUUGAAUGUUAUCAUGUUUUAGGAUUAUGUGCAACAGUGAAAGUCUGAAAGAGAGAGUGUGUUAUGUAAAUUUAGAGUUGGGCUUAAUUUGUACGGUUGU
rnacentral:lncRNA from 1 species